rnacentral:rRNA from 1 species
UACGGAGGAUCCAAGCGUUAUCCGGAAUCAUUGGGUUUAAAGGGUCCGUAGGCGGCUUAAUAAGUCAGUGGUGAAAGCCCUACGCUUAACGUAGGAACGGCCAUUGAUACUGUUAGGCUUGAAUUAUUAGGAAGUAACUAGAAUAUGUAGUGUAGCGGUGAAAUGCUUAGAGAUUACAUGGAAUACCAAUUGCGAAGGCAGGUUACUACUAAUGGAUUGACGCUGAUGGACGAAAGCGUGGGUAGCGAACAGG